AUGGAGGGAGGUGGACUGAGUGGCUUCACUUUGCAAUUAACUCCACAAAGAAGGAAAACACUGCUCAGGAAGUUAAGGGAACUUUCUCUGGCCGUGACGCUUGUAGGCAUUGAUGCCAAGACCUCCACACUGAACACUUUGUGCUUCUGUGGAACCAUCCAAGAACAAACUGGCAGAGCCGCUGUAAUUCUCCAGCAGAGAUUUACUGGGCAGCAUUCCAGGUGCCAAGCGAGGACGGAAACAAGCACGCGAGCCAUGGAUCCCAAAGCAAUCAACAGUACUUCUUUAUUACUUGACUUUUCGGCACCGAGAGCUGGGCCGUUCGCUGUCACAGAGCCACCAAGCGUGCAGCCCACUGAGCAGCAGCAGCUCGUUCUGGACCAUCGCCGAGGAGGGCGCAUAAGUUCCGGCUGGAUGAGAAAGCUCGGGCCAGAGCAGGGGGUCAGGAGCUGGGCACCAUAUGAGGACAGUCAGCUGAGCUGUUGACCCCCAUAAAGUCGGGGUCAGAAGCCAGAUUGCAGCAAGCUGGAUACAUAUGUCUCAAUAAAUUGGAUUCUUUCAAAAACUUUAAAGUGAAA
rnacentral:lncRNA from 1 species